rnacentral:ribozyme from 13 species
UUUUUUUAGGGUUUUUGUUUUUUUUUUUUUAUUAUAUUUUUCUUUUUUUUUUUUUUUUUUUUGCGUGAC